CCUCGGCGCCCGGGAUCCGGAGCCGCGGCCGGGAGCCGCACGCGAGGCCGGGGCUGAACUCCGCCAACAGGCCGCAGCCGGCCUCCCCUCCCCCACGGCCGCCGCCGGUGGCGGGGCGCGAGCCUUCCCGGCAACGGGGCGGCGCGGGGCCGGCGCGGCUACCUCCCGGGCCGUUCCCCGCGCCCCGGCCGCCUCGGGGCCUCCUUCGCGCCGGCCUCGGUGCCGCGGCCCUGAGGGGAUGCGCGCUGCCGCCGCCGCACCCCUCGCGUGGGGCGUGUGUGUAACUUUUAGCGUGCGGUUUCCAGAAGGACCCGGCUUGGCUUUUACGGUGGUGGGGAAGGAUCGUCCACCUCCGCCCGACUCCUUAGUCAGGAGCGGUCUUGCCAUCCGACUGCCCCACUCACUGACAGAGAUGCCACGAAAUACCCACUGGCAAAACACUACUAGCAGCGAGCAUAGUAUUUAUAGCAUCUUUGAUCCUGCAAGCCUCCUAAGGACUUGACCCACUCGGGUUCAGAAUCGUCCCUCCACUCUUUGAAGGGCCAGGCACAGAAGGAGCUCUUGCUUUUCCGUGUCUUAGCCAAGGAAGUCCCCAAGAAUAGUUGCCACUCAGACUUGUUUUACCUUGUACGUCUUUAGCGACAGCAAACGUUUUCUCUUCAGAAACUUUUCGUCUUGGCGUUACGUUGAGUCAUAGGCUUGCGGUGUUUAGUAGAUGGAGUGUAUGUAACUUUGGAUGUCUUGCCUCGAUCAGAUAGCCAGUGGCAGGCAAUUAAAACGUCCUGUUGUAACAAACUGGACGUACUUGCUCAUGUCGCUACAGUAACAGGUAAAAGUCAAAUAGACAAACCAGCAGUGGAGCAGAUUUUUAAAAGUAAAACUGGAGGAAGUUGUUUUCCCCAUCAAAGGCUCAUAAGCAUUCUGUCCUGUGGGAGGGAAAGGGGGCCUUUGUCAUCACUUUUUGAGCAGGCUUUUCCUGAAGUACCCUUUGCUGUGAGGAAAGGAAAGACCACGAGUUAAGUAACUUUGACCUGGAGAACUUGAGGGCCUCUGAAUUCCUCAUACCAAAGAAGUUACAACCGAUGCAAAAUUGUGGCUUUGCAAGGGACAUAGUGUCAGCGUGUAGAAACUUGCACCUUAAUGUAAAUAAAUGGGCUCUAUGUAAACAUGUAGGGCAUAAUUGGGUGAAUGAGGUAUUUUGAUAUUAGUUGCAUUAUGAGUGAUUUUUCUAAAUAAGAGAUUACAUCAGAAAGUGAGAAAUGCCGGAAAAACAGCGCUAAUAAAGGAGAUCACUUUUUGGAGACAGACCAAGAAUUGUGGAGUAACUGUUAGAACUGUCUGAGAGAUGAUGGUUUUACCACGAGUGUAUUAAUGGAACUAGUGUGAAGGGGUUGUGUUCUGCUUGUGUUUUGAAGGUAGAGAACAGGACUUAUAUUUUGGGUUGGAAUUAAUGGGGAGGAAUAGCCAAAGAUGAUUAUAGAAUGUUUGCCCUCAGCACCUGGAAGGAAGAAGUAAAUAUUUAUUCAGUUGGGAAGCGAUGGCAGGACAAGUAGAAGUGAGGGAAAGAUUAGAACUUGUCUUAACCUUGAGAAGGUUGAGACGCUUAGUAGGCAUUAAGGUAGAAACAGAGUAGGCAGCUGGAACUAUCGUUAGUGUGCAAGAGACAGGGCUAGGGAGGAUAUAGGAAAUUUGGGGAUGACUUGAAGCUAGAGAAGUAAAUGAGAUCUCUCUUUAGAAUGUGAGGUUAAGUUUGGAGAUGGUAGUAAGAACAGAGGCAAACCAAGUAGGAACCAGUGAAAUGGGAAGAAAAAUGAAGUGGCUAUAGUGCAUAAAGAAAGGCAAGUUGGAUUUUUGUCUUAAGUAAUAGAAUUGGAGAGCGCUUUCAAAAUACUGCUGUAUGGGUCUAGUAAAAUGACAUCUAGAACUUUGACCAUUAGAUUUAUGAAUGUUAAAGUUGUUCCAGUGAAAUAAGAGAUAGGAA